rnacentral:tmRNA from 1 species
CGUCUUCCCAAUUCCCUCCAUCGUCCCUAUAUUCUGAUUGCCGGAGCAAUUCGGCUAUGGCGAUAAAUGACCUUUGUAAUAAGCCAUUCGGACCCGGGGGCGGUACCCGGCGCCUCCACCAGACUGUUUCGGGCUUAGGCUGUUUGAGACUUCCUGGAAACGGUGUGGCGGGGGCGAAACAGGAUCGACGAGGGUGUAAAGACCGCGUUUUCGCUCGGCAUGGUAUCCACCGACAUCGGGCCAUCUUAGUAGUUGCAAACGACAACUAUGCGGAAGCACGUCUCGCCGCUUAAGCGGUGCGACUGUUUCAACUGAACUCCUGACGGUUCGCACUGUCAGGCGGGGUCCGGAGGCACCUGGCAACAGAAGCCUCCACU